UCUAGAGUUUUGGGCAGGCUCAGAUUGAACGCUGGCGGCAGGCUUAACACAUGCAAGUCGAGCGGAGAGAGGUAGCUUGCUACUGAUCUUAGCGGCGGACGGGUGAGUAAUGCUUAGGAAUCUGCCUAUUAGUGGGGGACAACAUUUCGAAAGGAAUGCUAAUACCGCAUACGUCCUACGGGAGAAAGCAGGGGAUCUUCGGACCUUGCGCUAAUAGAUGAGCCUAAGUCGGAUUAGCUAGUUGGUGGGGUAAAGGCCUACCAAGGCGACGAUCUGUAGCGGGUCUGAGAGGAUGAUCCGCCACACUGGGACUGAGACACGGCCCAGACUCCUACGGGAGGCAGCAGUGGGGAAUAUUGGACAAUGGGCGCAAGCCUGAUCCAGCCAUGCCGCGUGUGUGAAGAAGGCCUUAUGGUUGUAAAGCACUUUAAGCGAGGAGGAGGCUACUUUAGUUAAUACCUAGAGAUAGUGGACGUUACUCGCAGAAUAAGCACCGGCUAACUCUGUGCCAGCAGCCGCGGUAAUACAGAGGGUGCAAGCGUUAAUCGGAUUUACUGGGCGUAAAGCGCGCGUAGGCGGCUAAUUAAGUCAAAUGUGAAAUCCCCGAGCUUAACUUGGGAAUUGCAUUCGAUACUGGUUAGCUAGAGUGAGGGGG
rnacentral:rRNA from 1 species